UGCAUGCUUUUACAGUAUGAAAAUUGGUGAUUUAUAAUAACUUAGCAAAUCGCAAAGUGAAAACAGGCGAUAAAUCAUUCAAGUUUCUGACCUAUCAGCUUUCGACGGUAUGGUAUUGGCUUACCGUGGCAGUGACGGUUAACGGGGGAUUAGGGUUCGAUUCCGGAGAGGGAGCCUGAGAAACGGCUACCACAUCUAAGGAAGGCAGCAGGCGCGCAAAUUACCCAAUUCUAACAGUUUGAGAGAGGUAGUAACAAGAAAUAACAAUACAAGGCAGUUAAAAUGCUUUGUAAUUGGAAUGAUAGAAAUUUAAACCCUUUUUAAAGUAUCAAUUGGAGGGCAAGUCUGGUGCCAGCAGCCGCGGUAAUUCCAGCUCCAAUAGCGUAUAUUAAAAUUGUUGCAGUUAAAAAGCUCGUAGUUGAAGUUCUGCUAAAAGUAACCGGUCUGCUUUGAAUAAAAGUGGUAUCUUGGUAUGUAUUUAGCAAUGAUGUCCUUUGAAGUGUUUUUUACUUUAUUGUAAUAAAGCAUAUUCAGGACUUUUACUUUGAGAAAAUUAGAGUGUUUCUAGCAGGCCAACGCUUUGAAUACUGCAGCAUGGAAUAAUA
rnacentral:rRNA from 1 species